rnacentral:rRNA from 1 species
GAAUCCCAAAAAGUGCGUCGUAGUCCGGAUUGGAGUCUGCAACUCGACUCCAUGAAGUCGGAAUCGCUAGUAAUCGUGGAUCAGAAUGCCACGGUGAAUACGUUCCCGGGCCUUGUACACACCGCCCGUCACACCAUGGGAGUGGGCUGCAAAAGAAGUAGGUAGUUUAACCUUCGGGGGGACGCUUACCACUUUGUGGUUCAUGACUGGGGUGAAGUCGUAACAAGGUAGCGCUAGGGGAACCUGG